GAAAGCAUAGUAUAAUUAUUACAUCUCAUUUACACUGAGAAAAUACUCUAAUGGGUUGCUUUUAG
rnacentral:tRNA from 1 species